rnacentral:tRNA from 1 species
GGUUAUAGCUCAGUGGUAGAGUGCUAGCCUUGCACGUGCAAGGCCCUGGAUUCAAUCCUCAGGACCA